rnacentral:rRNA from 1 species
UAACUGGGAUUUAGAUACCCCACUAUGCUUAGCCCUAAACUCAGACAACUAAUUACCCAAAUUGUCCGCCCGGGUACUACAAGCACCAGCUUAAAACCCAAAGGACUUGGCGGUGCUUAACACCCCCCUAGAGGAGCCUGUUCUAGAACCGAUAACCCUCGUUAAACCUCACCCUUUCUUGCCCCCACCGCCUAUAUACCGCCGUCGUCAGCUUACCCUGUGAAGGUGUAAUAGUAAGCAAAAUCAGUAAAACUUUAAACGUCAGGUCGAGGUGUAGCAAAUGAAAGGGGAAGAAAUGGGCUACAUUUCCUGCCCCAGGAAACACGAAAAAUGUGUUGAAACACACAAUAGAAGGAGGAUUUAGCAGUAAGCAGAAAAUAGAG